GAGACGUUAGUAAACCAUUACAUAGCCUUGUCAGGACUAAAUCACAGGUGAAACCCCUGUACAUCUCA
rnacentral:tRNA from 1 species